rnacentral:rRNA from 1 species
UACGAAGGGGACUAGCGUUGUUCGGAUUUACUGGGCGUAAAGCGCGCGUAGGCGGAUCGCUAAGUCAGGUGUGAAAGCCCCCGGCUCAACCGGGGAAUAGCAUUUGAUACUGGCAGACUCGAGGAUGGUAGGGGUGAGUGGAACUCCAGGUGGAGCGGUGAAAUGCGUAGAUAUCUGGAGGAACACCGGUGGCGAAAGCGGCUCACUGGACCAUAACUGACGCUGAGGUGCGAAAGCUAGGGUAGCAAACGGG